rnacentral:tRNA from 1 species
GGUUGUGUAGUGUAGUUGGUUAUCACACCAGAUUCUGAUGUUCAAAAUUCUGGUGACCUCGGUUCGAAUCCGGGCACGACCU